UGUGGUUUAAAUCAUACACUUUUGACAUA
rnacentral:piRNA from 1 species